rnacentral:rRNA from 1 species
AACGAACGCUGGCGGCAUGCCUAACACAUGCAAGUCGAACGAGACCUUCGGGUCUAGUUGCGCACGGGUGCGUAACGCGUGGGAACCUGCCCUUAGGUUCGGAAUACCUCCCCGAAAGGGGUGCUAAUACCGGAUAAUUUCUUCGGACCAAAGAUUUAUCGCCUUUGGAUGGGCCCGCGUUGGAUUAGCUUGUUGGUAUGGUAAACGCCUACCAAGGCUACGAUCCAUAGCUGGUCUGAGAGGAUGAUCAGCCACACUGGGACUGAGACACGGCCCAGACUCCUACGGGAGGCAGCAGUGGGGAAUAUUGGAAAAUGGGCGAAAGCCUGAUCCAGCAAUGCCGCGUGAGUGAUGAAGGCCUUAGGGUUGUAAAGCUCGUUUACCCGGGAUGAUAAUGACAGUACCGGGAGAAUAAGCUCCGGCUAACUCCGUG